GAUGAACGCUGGCGGCGUGCCUAAUACAUGCAAGUCGAGCGAACGGACGAGAAGCUUGCUUCUCUGAUGUUAGCGGCGGACGGGUGAGUAACACGUGGAUAACCUACCUAUAAGACUGGGAUAACUUCGGGAAACCGUAGCUAAUACCGGAUAAUAUUUUGAACCGCAUGGUUCAAAAGUGAAAGACGGUCUUGCUGUCACUUAUAGAUGGAUCCGCGCUGCAUUAGCUAGUUGGUAAGGUAACGGCUUACCAAGGCAACGAUGCAUAGCCGACCUGAGAGGGUGAUCGGCCACACUGGAACUGAGACACGGUCCAGACUCCUACGGGAGGCAGCAGUAGGGAAUCUUCCGCAAUGGGCGAAAGCCUGACGGAGCAACGCCGCGUGAGUGAUGAAGGUCUUCGGAUCGUAAAACUCUGUUAUUAGGGAAGAACAUAUGUGUAAGUAACUGUGCACAUCUUGACGGUACCUAAUCAGAAAGCCACGGCUAACUACGUGCCAGCAGCCGCGGUAAUACGUAGGUGGCAAGCGUUAUCCGGAAUUAUUGGGGGUAAAGCGCGCGUAGCGGUUUUUUAAGUCUGAUGUGAAAGCCCACGGCUCAACCGUGGAGGGUCAUUGGAAACUGGAAAACUUGAGUGCAGAAGAGGAAAGUGGAAUUCCAUGUGUAGCGGUGAAAUGCGCAGAGAUAUGGAGGAACACCAGUGGCGAAGGCGACUUUCUGGUCUGUAACUGACGCUGAUGUGCGAAAGCGUGGGGAUCAAACAGGAUUAGAUACCCUGGUAGUCCACGCCGUAAACGAUGAGUGCUAAGUGUUAGGGGGUUUCCGCCCCUUAGUGCUGCAGCUAACGCAUUAAGCACUCCGCCUGGGGAGUACGACCGCAAGGUUGAAACUCAAAGGAAUUGACGGGGACCCGCACAAGCGGUGGAGCAUGUGGUUUAAUUCGAAGCAACGCGAAGAACCUUACCAAAUCUUGACAUCCUUUGACAACUCUAGAGAUAGAGCCUUCCCCUUCGGGGGACAAAGUGACAGGUGGUGCAUGGUUGUCGUCAGCUCGUGUCGUGAGAUGUUGGGUUAAGUCCCGCAACGAGCGCAACCCUUAAGCUUAGUUGCCAUCAUUAAGUUGGGCACUCUAAGUUGACUGCCGGUGACAAACCGGAGGAAGGUGGGGAUGACGUCAAAUCAUCAUGCCCCUUAUGAUUUGGGCUACACACGUGCUACAAUGGACAAUACAAAGGGCAGCGAAACCGCGAGGUCAAGCAAAUCCCAUAAAGUUGUUCUCAGUUCGGAUUGUAGUCUGCAACUCGACUACAUGAAGCUGGAAUCGCUAGUAAUCGUAGAUCAGCAUGCUACGGUGAAUACGUUCCCGGGUCU
rnacentral:rRNA from 1 species